rnacentral:rRNA from 1 species
AGAGUUUGAUCCUGGCUCAGAAUGAACGUUGGCGGCGUGGAUUAGGCAUGCAAGUCGAACGGGCCGCAAGGCCAGUGGCGGAAGGGUGAGUAAGGCGACGGUAACCAACCCCAUGGUCGGGUAUAGCCGCGGGAAACUGCGGGUAAUCCCCAGCGACGUCCGGAGCGGGCAUCCGCACCGGACCAAAGUCCUGGCGCCGUGGGACGGGCCGUCGUGGUAUUAGGUCGUUGGCGGGGUAACGGCCCACCAAGCCUAUGAUGCCUACCGGGCGUGCGAGCGUGGCCCGGCACACUGGGACUGAGACACUGCCCAGACUCCUACGGGAGGCUGCAGUCGAGAAUCUUCGGCAAUGGGCGCAAGCCUGACCGAGCGACGCCGCGUGGAGGACGAAGGCCUUCGGGUUGUAAACUCCUGUCGAGGGGGAGGAAGGUCAGCAAUGGCUUGACCGAUCCCUGGAGGAAGCACGGGCUAAGUUCGUGCCAGCAGCCGCGGUAAGACGAACCGUGCGAACGUUAUUCGGAAUCACUGGGCUUAAAGCGCGUGUAGGCGGAUGGGGACGUCGGUUGUUGAAAGCCCCCGGCUCAACCGGGGAAUGGGCACCGAAACGCCCCGUCUCGAGGGACGUAGGGGGACCUGGAACUUCCGGUGGAGCGGUGAAAUGCGUUGAGAUCGGAAGGAACGCCCGUGGCGAAAGCGAGGUCCUGGACGUCUACUGACGCUGAGACGCGAAAGCUAGGGUAGCGAACGGGAUUAGAUACCCCCGUAGUCC